rnacentral:tRNA from 1 species
AGUCGGAAAGCCUUGUGAUUAAGGCUUUCGAUUCACAAUCGUUCACCCUGGGUUCGAGUCCCAGUUAGAGCUG